rnacentral:rRNA from 1 species
CGUGGGCAAUCUGCCCUGCACUCUGGGACAAGCCCUGGAAACGGGGUCUAAUACCGGAUACUGACCACCUUGGGCAUCCAAGGUGUUCGAAAGCUCCGGCGGUGCAGGAUGAGCCCGCGGCCUAUCAGCUUGUUGGUGAGGUAAUGGCUCACCAAGGCGACGACGGGUAGCCGGCCUGAGAGGGCGACCGGCCACACUGGGACUGAGACACGGCCCAGACUCCUACGGGAGGCAGCAGUGGGGAAUAUUGCACAAUGGGCGAAAGCCUGAUGCAGCGACGCCGCGUGAGGGAUGACGGCCUUCGGGUUGUAAACCUCUUUCAGCAGGGAAGAAGCGAAAGUGACGGUACCUGCAGAAGAAGCGCCGGCUAACUACGUGCCAGCAGCCGCGGUAAUACGUAGGGCGCGAGCGUUGUCCGGAAUUAUUGGGCGUAAAGAGCUCGUAGGCGGCUUGUCACGUCGGUUGUGAAAGCCCGGGGCUUAACCCCGGGUCUGCAGUCGAUACGGGCAGGCUAGAGUUCGGUAGGGGAGAUCGGAAUUCCUGGUGUAGCGGUGAAAUGCGCAGAUAUCAGGAGGAACACCGGUGGCGAAGGCGGAUCUCUGGGCCGAUACUGACGCUGAGGAGCGAAAGCGUGGGGAGCGAACAGGAUUAGAUACCCUGGUAGUCCACGCCGUAAACGGUGGGCACUAGGU